UUAAAGCUAUACUGCUUGCUUCCUAGCGUACGUCUUUCAUUCGGUUCAGCUAUCGGUGAAUUUCGCUCCGAGCUGCCCUAUGAAGGACUGUCGCUAUUACGCUUUUCCACCCUACUCUAUC
rnacentral:precursor_RNA from 9 species